AGUGGACGCUGGCGGUAGGCCUAACACAUGCAAGUCGAACGGCAGCACAGUAAGAGCUUGCUCUUACGGGUGGCGAGUGGCGGACGGGUGAGGAAUACAUCGGAAUCUACUUUUUCGUGGGGGAUAACGUAGGGAAACUUACGCUAAUACCGCAUACGACCUACGGGUGAAAGCAGGGGACCUUCGGACCUUGCGCGAUUGAAUGAGCCGAUGUCGGAUUAGCUAGUUGGCGGGGUAAAGGCCCACCAAGGCGACGAUCCGUAGCUGGUCUGAGAGGAUGAUCAGCCACACUGGAACUGAGACACGGUCCAGACUCCUACGGGAGGCAGCAGUGGGGAAUAUUGGACAAUGGGCGCAAGCCUGAUCCAGCCAUACCGCGUGGGUGAAGAAGGCCUUCGGGUUGUAAAGCCCUUUUGUUGGGAAAGAAAAGCAGCAGGUUAAUACCCCGCUGUUCUGACGGUACCCAAAGAAUAAGCACCGGCUAACUUCGUG
rnacentral:rRNA from 1 species